rnacentral:rRNA from 1 species
UACAGAGGUCCCAAGCGUUGUUCGGAUUCAUUGGGCGUAAAGGGUGCGUAGGUGGCGCCGUAAGUCAGGUGUGAAAUUUCGGAGCUUAACUCCGAAACUGCAUUUGAUACUGCGGUGCUUGAGGACUGGAGAGGAGACUGGAAUUUACGGUGUAGCAGUGAAAUGCGUAGAGAUCGUAAGGAAGACCAGUGGCGAAGGCGGGGUCUCUGGACAGUUCCUGACACUGAGGCACGAAGGCCAGGGGAGCAAACGGGG